rnacentral:rRNA from 1 species
AACGAACGCUGGCGGCAGGCCUAACACAUGCAAGUCGAGCGCACCUUCGGGUGAGCGGCGGACGGGUUAGUAACGCGUGGGAACGUACCCUUUUCUACGGAAUAGCCUUUGGAAACGAAGAGUAAUACCGUAUACGCCCUUUGGGGGAAAGAUUUAUCGGAGAAGGAUCGGCCCGCGUUAGAUUAGAUAGUUGGUGGGGUAACGGCCUACCAAGUCUACGAUCUAUAGCUGGUUUUAGAGGAUGAUCAGCAACACUGGGACUGAGACACGGCCCAGACUCCUACGGGAGGCAGCAGUGGGGAAUCUUAGACAAUGGGCGCAAGCCUGAUCUAGCCAUGCCGCGUGAGUGAUGAAGGCCUUAGGGUCGUAAAGCUCUUUCGCCUGUGAUGAUAAUGACAGUAGCAGGUAAAGAAACCCCGGCUAACUCCGUGCCAGCAGCCGCGGUAAUACGGAGGGGGUUAGCGUUGUUCGGAAUUACUGGGCGUAAAGCGCACGUAGGCGGAUUGGAAAGUUGGGGGUGAAAUCCCGGGGCUCAACCCCGGAACUGCCUCCAAAACUAUCAGUCUAGAGUUCGAGAGAGGUGAGUGGAAUUCCAAGUGUAGAGGUGAAAUUCGUAGAUAUUUGGAGGAACACCAGUGGCGAAGGCGGCUCACUGGCUCGAUAC